rnacentral:rRNA from 1 species
UAGGGAAUCUUCCACAAUGGGCGAAAGCCUGAUGGAGCAAUGCCGCGUGAAUGAAGAAGGUCUUCGGAUCGUAAAGUUCUGUUAUUAGAGAAGAACAAGUCAAGGAGUAACUGUCUUGACUUUGACGGUACCUAACCAGAAAGUCACGGCUAACUACGUGCCAGCAGCCGCGGUAAUACGUAGGUGACAAGCGUUGUCCGGAAUUAUUGGGCGUAAAGGGAGCGCAGGCGGUUGGAAUAGUCUGAUGUGAAAGCCCACGGCUUAACCGUGGAAUUGCAUUGGAAACUGUCCAACUUGAAUGCAGAAGAGGAAAGCGGAAUUCCAUGUGUAGCGGUGAAAGUGCGUAGAUAUAUGGAGGAACACCAGUGGCGAAGGCGGCUUUCUGGUCUGUGAUUGACGCUGAGGCUCGAAAGCGUGGGGGAGCGAACAGGAUUAGAUACCC